AUUGAACGCUGGCGGCAUGCUUUACACAUGCAAGUCGAACGGUAACAGGGUGCUUGCACCGCUGACGAGUGGCGAACGGGUGAGUAAUGCGUCGGAACGUGCCGAGUAGUGGGGGAUAACGCAGCGAAAGUUGUGCUAAUACCGCAUACGUACUGAGGUAGAAAGUGGGGGACCUUCGGGCCUCACGCUAUUCGAGCGGCCGACGUCUGAUUAGCUAGUAGGUGAGGUAAAGGCUCACCUAGGCGACGAUCAGUAGCGGGUCUGAGAGGAUGAUCCGCCACAUUGGGACUGAGAAACGGCACAGACUCCUACGGGAGGCAGCAGUGGGGAAUUUUGGACAAUGGGCGAAAGCCUGAUCCAGCCAUGCCGCGUGUCUGAAGAAGGCCUUCGGGUUGUAAAGGACUUUUGUCGGGGAGGAAAUCCCCAGCGUUAAUACCGCUGGGGGAUGACAGUACCUGAAGAAUAAGCACCGGCUAACUACGUGCCAGCCGCCGCAGUAAGAC
rnacentral:rRNA from 1 species